rnacentral:rRNA from 1 species
AUUGAACGCUGGCGGCAGGCCUAACACAUGCAAGUCGAGCGGAGCGGCGGACGGGUGAGUAAUGCCUAGGAAUCUGCCUGGUAGUGGGGGAUAACGUCCGGAAAGGGGCGCUAAUACCGCAUACUAUCAGAUGAGCCUAGGUCGGCUUGGCUAGUUGGUGGGGUAAAGGCCUACCAAGGCGACGAUCCGUAACUGGUCUGAGAGGAUGAUCAGUCAAACUGGAAAUGAGACACGGUCAAGACGCCUACGGGAGGCAGCAGGGGGGAAGAUUGGACAAUGGGAGAAAGCCUGAGCAAGCCAUGCCGCGUGUGUGAAGAAGGUCUACGGAUUGUAAAGCACUUUAAGUUGGGAGGCGUUACCAACAGAAUAAGCACCGGCUAACUUCGUGACAGCAGCCGCGGUAAUAC